rnacentral:rRNA from 1 species
AUUGAACGCUGGCGGCAGGCCUAACACAUGCAAGUCGAGCGGAUGAGUGGAGCUUGCUCCAUGAUUCAGCGGCGGACGGGUGAGUAAUGCCUAAGAAUCUGCCUGGUAGUGGGGGACAACGUUUCGAAAGGAACGCUAAUACCGCAUACGUCCUACGGGAGAAAGUGGGGGAUCUUCGGACCUCACGCUAUCAGAUGAGCCUAGGUCGGAUUAGCUAGUUGGUGAGGUAAAGGCUCACCAAGGCGACGAUCCGUAAGUGGUCUGAGAGAAUGAUGAGACACACUGGGACUGAGACACGGUCCAGACUCCUACGGGAGGCAGCAGUGGGGAAUAUUGAACAAUGGGCGAAAGUCUGAGCCAGGCAGGCCGCGUGUGUGAAGAAGGUCUUCGGAUUGUAAAGCACUUUAAGUUGGGAGGAAGGGCAGAAAGUUAAUACCUUGCUGUUUUGACGUUACCAACAGAAUAAGCACCGGCUAACUUCGUGCCAGCAGCCGCCGUAACAC